GACGAACGUUGGCGGCGUGCUUAACACAUGCAAGUCGAGCGGAGUUUAGAAGGAAGCUUGCUUUUUGCUAAACCUAGCGGCGGACGGGUGAGUAACGCGUGGAUAAUCUGCCUGUAAGACCGGGAUAACGCCGGGAAACCGGUGCUAAUACCAGAUAAGUUCAAUUUUUCGCAUGAAGAGUUGAAGAAAGGUGGCCUCUGUUUACAAGCUACCACUUACAGAUGAAUCCGCGUCCCAUUAGCCAGUUGGUGGGGUAACGGCCCACCAAAGCGACGAUGGGUAGCCGGCCUGAGAGGGUGACCGGCCACACUGGAACUGAGACACGGUCCAGACUCCUACGGGAGGCAG
rnacentral:rRNA from 1 species